UCCCAAGAAUACCCUCUUACAUGUCUUUAGCCUAUGUUCAGUUUGAGAAGGAGAGGGUUGAGGAGGACGGAGGUGAUUGAGAAGGAGAGGGUUGAGGAGGACGGAGGUGAUUGAGAAGGAGAGCGUUGAGGAGGACGGAGGUGUUUGAGAAGGAGAGCGUUGAGGAGGACGGAGGUGAUUGAGAAGGAGAGCGUUGAGGAGGACGGAGGUGAUUGAGAAGGAGAGGGUUGAGGAGGACGGAGGUGUUUGAGAAGGAGAGCGUUGAGGAGGACGGAGGUGAUUGAGAAGGAGAGGGUUGAGGAGGACGGAGGUGUUUGAGAA